UACGGAGGAUGCAAGCGUUAUCCGUAAUGAUUGGGCGUAAAGCGUCCGCAGGUGGCUAUGUAAGUCUGCUGUUAAAGAGUGAGGCUCAACCUCAUAAGAGCAGUGGAAACUACAUGGCUAGAGUGCGUUCGGGGCAGAGGGAAUUCCUGGUGUAGCGGUGAAAUGCGUAGAGAUCAGGAAGAACACCGGUGGCGAAAGCGCUCUGCUAGGCCGCAACUGACACUCAUGGACGAAAGCUAGGGGAGCGAAUGGG
rnacentral:rRNA from 1 species